UCACUCUGGCUUCUAUUCGAUGUCAAAUAAAUCUUUCGCCUUUUACUAAAGAUUUCUGCGGAUAGGAGCACUCAAAUGAGUCUAAACUGAAAUUUUUUGUUUGGAUCUGAGCAAUCGGAUCCA